UACGUAGGCAGCAAGCGUUGUUCGGAAUUACUGGGCGUAAAGGGUGUGUAGGUGGCGCCGUAAGUCGGGUGUGAAAUCUCGGGGCUUAACUCCGAAACCGCAUUCGAUACUGCGGUGCUUGAGGACUGGAGAGGAGACUGGAAUUCAUGGUGUAGCAGUGAAAUGCGCAGAUAUCAGGAGGAACACCGGUGGCGAAGGCGGGUCUCUGGGCCGAUACUGACGCUGAGGAGCGAAAGCGUGGGGAGCGAACAGG
rnacentral:rRNA from 1 species